rnacentral:rRNA from 1 species
GCACCACAACAGGUGGAGCCUGCGGUUAAUCGGACUCAACGCCGGGAAAACUCACCAGAUAAGACAGCUGAAUGAUAGUCGGGCUGAAGACUCUACUUGACUAGCUGAGAGGAGGUGCAUGGCCGUCGUCAGUUCGUACUGUGAAGCAUCCUGUUAAGUCAGGCAACGAGCGAGACCCACGCCAACAGUUGCCAGCUCGUCCUCCGGGAUGGUGGGGACACUGUUGGGACCGCCUCUGCUAAAGAGGAGGAAGGAAUGGGCAACGGUAGGUCAGCAUGCCCCGAAUUAUCUGGGCUACACGCGGGCUACAAUGGGUGGGACAAUGGGUAUCGACACCGAAAGGUGAAGGCAAUCUCCUAAACCCAUCCGUAGUUCGGAUUGUGGGCUGCAACUCGCCCACAUGAAGCUGGAAUCUGUAGUAAUCGUGUCUCAAAAUGGCACGGUGAAUAUGUCCCUGCUCCUU